GGGGAUGUGGUCUAGUGGUAUGACGUUUCCUUAGCAUGCAACAGCAUGGAAAAGGUUCUGGGUUCGAUUCCCAGCCUCUCCA